rnacentral:rRNA from 1 species
GGCUCAGGACGAACGCUGGCGGCGUGCUUAAUGAAUGCGAGUCGAGCGAGAACCAGAGGCGUGCUUGCACAAAUCUGGGGACAGCGGCGAACGGGUGAGUAACACGUGGGUAACCUGCCCUGCAGACGGGCACAACAGCUGGAAACGGCUGCUAAUUCCCGAUGGUCUGCAGCACCUCAAGGUGCUGCAGUAAAGGUUUAUUCCGCUGCAGGAUGGGCCCGCGGGCCAUUAGCUUGUUGGUAGGGUAACGGCCUACCAAGGCGACGAUGGCUAGCCGGUCUGAGAGGAUGAUCGGCCACACUGGGACUGAGACAUGGUCCAGACUCCUCCGGGAGUUAGCAUCAGGGAAUCUUGCGCAAUGGGCGAAAGCCUGACGCAGCGACGCCGCGUGAGGGAUGAAGGUCUGCGGAUCGUAAACCUCUGUAAGCAGGGACGAAUGCCCGAUUCGGUCGGGAGUGACGGUACCUGCAGAGUAAGCUCCGGCUAACUACGUGCCAGCAGCCGCGGUAAUACGUAGGGAGCCAGCGUUGUCCGGAUUUACUGGGCGUAAAGAGCGCGUAGGCGGUUUGAUAAGCGGAGGGUGAAAUCCCGGGGCUCAACUCCGGGGCUGCUCUCCGAACUGUCAGACUAGAGUACGGGAGAGGACAGUGGAAUUCCUGGUGUAGCGGUGGAAUGCGUAAAUAUCAGGAGGAACACCCGUGGCGAAGGCUGCUGUCUGGAACGUUACUGACGCUGAGGCGCGAAAGCUAGGGGAGCGAACGGGAUUAGAUACCCCGGUAGUCCUAGCCGUAAACGAUGGACACUAGGUGUUGGAGGCAUCGACCCCUUCAGUGCUGUUCUGCUAACGCGUUAAGUGUCCCGCCUGGGGGAGUACGGCCCGCAGGUUGAAACUC